rnacentral:rRNA from 1 species
GGGCUUGGCCCUCGCGAUGCAUCUAGAUUAGAGUUUGAUCCUGGCUCAGAUUGAACGCUGGCGGCAGGCCUAACACAUGCAAGUCGAGCGGUAGCACAGAGAGCUUGCUCUCGGGUGACGAGCGGCGGACGGGUGAGUAAUGUCUGGGAAACUGCCUGAUGGAGGGGGAUAACUACUGGAAACGGUAGCUAAUACCGCAUAACGUCGCAAGACCAAAGUGGGGGACCUUCGGGCCUCAUGCCAUCAGAUGUGCCCAGAUGGGAUUAGCUAGUAGGUGGGGUAACGGCUCACCUAGGCGACGAUCCCUAGCUGGUCUGAGAGGAUGACCAGCCACACUGGAACUGAGACACGGUCCAGACUCCUACGGGAGGCAGCAGUGGGGAAUAUUGCACAAUGGGCGCAAGCCUGAUGCAGCCAUGCCGCGUGUGUGAAGAAGGCCUUCGGGUUGUAAAGCACUUUCAGCGGGGAGGAAGGCGGUGAGGUUAAUAACCUCACCGAUUGACGUUACCCGCAGAAGAAGCACCGGCUAACUCCGUGCCAGCAGCCGCGGUAAUACGGAGGGUGCAAGCGUUAAUCGGAAUUACUGGGCGUAAAGCGCACGCAGGCGGUCUGUCAAGUCGGAUGUGAAAUCCCCGGGCUCAACCUGGGAACUGCAUUCGAAACUGGCAGGCUAGAGUCUUGUAGAGGGGGGUAGAAUUCCAGGUGUAGCGGUGAAAUGCGUAGAGAUCUGGAGGAAUACCGGUGGCGAAGGCGGCCCCCUGGACAAAGACUGACGCUCAGGUGCGAAAGCGUGGGGAGCAUACAGGAUUAGAUACCCUGGUAGUCCACGCUGUAAACGAUGUCGAUUUGGAGGUUGUGCCCUUGAGGCGUGGCUUCCGGAGCUAACGCGUUAAAUCGACCGCCUGGGGAGUACGGCCGCAAGGUUAAAACUCAAAUGAAUUGACGGGGGCCCGCACAAGCGGUGGAGCAUGGUGGUUUAAUUCGAUGCAACGCGAAGAACCUUACCUGGUCUUGACAUCCACAGAACUUUCCAGAGAUGGAUUGGUGCCUUCGGGAACUGUGAGACAGGUGCUGCAUGGCUGUCGUCAGCUCGUGUUGUGAAAUGUUGGGUUAAGUCCCGCAACGAGCGCAACCCUUAUCCUUUGUUGCCAGCGGUUAGGCCGGGAACUCAAAGGAGACUGCCAGUGAUAAACUGGAGGAAGGUGGGGAUGACGUCAAGUCAUCAUGGCCCUUACGACCAGGGCUACACACGUGCUACAAUGGCAUAUACAAAGAGAAGCGACCUCGCGAGAGCAAGCGGACCUCAUAAAGUAUGUCGUAGUCCGGAUUGGAGUCUGCAACUCGACUCCAUGAAGUCGGAAUCGCUAGUAAUCGUAGAUCAGAAUGCUACGGUGAAUACGUUCCCGGGCCUUGUACACACCGCCCGUCACACCAUGGGAGUGGGUUGCAAAAGAAGUAGGUAGCUUAACCUUCGGGAGGGCGCUUACCACUUUGUGAUUCAUGACUGGGGUGAAGUCGUAACAAGGUAGCCGUAA